GACGCAAAUGACAAAUUUUCAGCAUUACAGAUUUUGUUAUUUGCGUAGCAUUUUUAUAAUUAAGUGACGCAAAUAACUCUAUUGCAUUUAGGUUAUUUAUUGUGCGCUUUUUUAACCUUAGCUUUUCACGCCUACCUUUCACUAAUUCACUAAACAAAAAUAAAAAAACAGAGUUGCUUCCAGUGAAUUUCUACAGAAAAACACCCAUAAAUUCGACCCAGAAAUCCAACAAAUGCGCCCAAAAAACUGCAAUUCCCCAGCAAAUUCAACACCCAAAAUCGCAAUCAAGUUCAACACCCAUAAUCGGCAGCAAAUCCGAGCAAUUUCGAGCAAAAAUUUAGACAAAAAACCUUAAGUAAUUCGAACCCUUAAACCCCAGAAAAAUUGAUUGUUUCCGACCAAAAAUUCCCCAUUUCGAGCAAAAAAUGUACUCAAUUCCAUACGAAUUCGAACCCUAGAAACCCCAAAAAAUUCAAUUAAAAAUCCUGGCGAAAAUAUUCGAGCAAUAACUGAAAUUUUCGAGUGGAAAAAUCGCUUAAUUUCGCCCCAAAAUCCCCGAGGAAGUUCAAGCAAAUUACACCAACAACAAUUGAAGUUCGAUUUCGGCUCGACAUUGUUGAAUUUUUGAAGUCAAUUUCACCUAAGGCAUCAUCAUAAUGGGCGAUGGGAAGCACGAAUUGGGCGAGUUUAUGAGAACAAGUACCUCUACUUAGGCACUUUCAAUUCUUAAUUAUGCGGAAGUGAAUUCCACAAGUUGCUCGAGGUUCUGGUUGUGGACAAACGAUUAAGGCGAUAGUACGCAUACGAGAUUGUCUUCACUUGUGUGCCCUCAACAAUUGGGUGGACGUGAGUGUGGCUACUACGUCAUGCGUUAUAUGUACGAAAUACUUGAACAUCACCAUAGCAGUGAGGAUCUUAUUCAGGAUUUUUCAAGAACUACACCGUACACCGAGGAGGAGAUAAAUGAGAUUCGAGAUAUUUGGGCAGAGUAUUUUAUAUGUAAUGUUGAACUUUAGAUUUACACUUAGCGCAUGUUGGACUCUUGUUUUGGAUUAUAGGCUUGACAUGAAUGAUUUUGGUUAAUUGGUGUUGGGAUGAUGAGUAUAAUGUCUAUGAUAUUCAGAUGUAAAUUAUUGGACAGGUUGUUAAUAUAAUGCCGUCAUUCCCAAUUUUAUGGGUAGGCCAAAUUACAAAAGAGACUCUGCCGAAAUUUACAUUUGCAUUAUUCAAUAAUAUUGCAUUUUAAUUUCAA